AGCUUGCUAAUAAUUCUCUAGUGGCGCACGGGUGAGUAACACGUGAGUAACCUGCCCCCAAGAGUGGGAUAGCCCCGGGAAACUGGGAUUAAUACCGCAUAAAAUCGCAAGAUUAAAGCAGCAAUGCGCUUGGGGAUGGGCUCGCGUCCUAUUAGUUAGUUGGUGAGGUAACGGCUCACCAAGGCGAUGACGGGUAGCCGGUCUGAGAGGAUGUCCGGCCACACUGGGACUGAGACACGGUCCAGACACCUACGGGUGGCAGCAGUCGAGAAUCAUUCACAAUGGGGGAAACCCUGAUGGUGCGACGCCGCGUGGGGGAAUGAAGGUCUUCGGAUUGUAAACCCCUGUCAUGUGGGAGCAAAUUAAAAAGAUAGUACCACAAGAGGAAGAGACGGCUAACUCUGUGCCAGCAGCCGCGGUAAUACAGAGGUCUCAAGCGUUGUUCGGAAUCACUGGGCGUAAAGCGUGCGUAGGCGGUUUCGUAAGUCGUGUGUGAAAGGCGGGGGCUCAACCCCCGGACUGCACAUGAUACUGCGAGACUAGAGUAAUGGAGGGGGAACCGGAAUUCUCGGUGUAGCAGUGAAAUGCGUAGAUAUCGAGAGGAACACUCGUGGCNGAGGCNGGUUCCUGGACAUUAACUGACG
rnacentral:rRNA from 1 species